UACAGAGGUCCCAAGCGUUGUUCGGAUUUACUGGGCGUAAAGGGUGCGUAGGCGGUGGGGUAAGUUUGAGGUGAAAGCUCCGGGCUCAACCCGGAAACUGCCUUGAAUACUAUCCCGCUAGAGGUUUGGAGGGGAGACUGGAAUUCUCGGUGUAGCAGUGAAAUGCGUAGAUCUCGAGAGGAACACCAGUGGCGAAGGCGGGUCUCUGGACAACACCUGACGCUGAGGCACGAAAGCCAGGGGAGCAAACGGG
rnacentral:rRNA from 1 species